rnacentral:rRNA from 1 species
AUACUGAGUGGCAAACGGGUGAGUAUAAUGUGGGAAUCUGCCUUUUGGUUCGGAAUAACCCCGGGAAACUGGGGCUAAUACCGGAUGGUUCCUUCGGGAUAAAGAUUUAUCGCCAAAAGAUGAGUCCGCGUACGAUUAGCUAGUUGGUGAGGUAAUGGCUCACCAAGGCGACGAUCGUUAGCUGGUCUGAGAGGACGAUCAGCCACACUGGGACUGAGACACGGCCCAGACUCC